rnacentral:lncRNA from 1 species
AUUGUGAUGGUGUGGGUGGGGAGGAGGAGGCUGUCAGUGUGGUCUAGGGGAGUGUCCCCAGUCAGCACGGAGACAGGUGGAAUCAGAGGUUUCUGGCUGACUCGGUGG